rnacentral:rRNA from 1 species
CACGUAGGGUGCGAGCGUUUGUCCGGAAUUAUUGGGCGUAAAGAGCUCGUAGGCGGUGUGUCGCGUCGGCCGUGAAAACCUGCAGCUUAACUGUGGGCUUGCGGUCGAUACGGGCAUCACUGGAGUUCGGCAGGGGAGACUGGAAUUCCUGGUGUAGCGGUGAAAUGCGCAGAUAUCAGGAGGAACACCGGUGGGCGAAGGCGGGUCUCUGGGCCGAUACUG